rnacentral:lncRNA from 1 species
CUAAUAAAGCUUGAUUUUUUUUAUGGAUGACAUUCACUACGGCACGUACAAGAUUAACCGAUCAUCCACGCCUCGGGUGUGGAGGUCACAAGAGAAUUUGAAUGAGUAUGAAAGAAUAGAGCCUCGAGGUGAUAAGUUGAUACUAUCCUCUAAAAUGGAGGAAGAUAAAAAGGAUGAGUUAGUAGCAUCUCCAAACCACCUUCUAUUCUUCAUUUUAGAGGAUUGAGAACACCAACUCAUCCUCUAAACACUCUUCUAUUUAAGAGGCCGAUCACUUGAUACUCUAUAUCCUUUAUACUUUUUCUUGUUAUUUUUGAAAAAGUAUAUGUAAAUAAAUAUUAUACAGUCAAUAAUUAUAAAAUUAGUAUUGUAAGGGGACAAAUUAUACAGUUAUGGAUUCUAGUAUUGCUAGGGCAGGCACCACCACCGAGCUAUCGCUAUAAAGCAAGCUUGGUGGUCCCCUGCACUGGAGCUCGGUCAAGACACUACCGAACACUGGCAUUGUUCGAGUUGUCGUUAUUUAGUAAGCUCGAUAGGUUAACUGCGCCAAAGUUUGGCCACGGAACAAUGGUCGGCGGCAAUCCCAAGACAUGUAAGGUGACAAAAGGUAACUUGCACAACGAAGUUUCUUUUGACAGCUCCCAUGCCAAAAUUGAGAUAUUAAUAACAUGAUGACAAGCUAUCAGUCAGGCCCUAGGAACAUGGCUGUAUCAGUCGUCUACUCACUGAUAAAAUAGUCGGCGCGUUCGAGCAUUCACCAAGCUGUAGUUUGUCUAGUGACACGACAGCUAGUGGUCAACGCACAUGUCAAGUUGUGCUAUAUAAGGUUAGCCUUUAUUUUUUAAAAGGUACACCACUUCAGCUAAGAAUGGCAUAUUCUUUCUCUCUUUCUGUAUAUAUUUUUCAGUUAUUUAACUUGACCAUCGGAGAGCCAUUUUUUAAAAACAGCUCCGGCAAUCGAUGUUACUGUUUUUAUGUCACAGCUAAGCUCUUGCUACUGGUAUAUAACUGCAGCCACAUGUACCACCGUAGGACUACCAUAGGUGUCUAUUCUCGAUUUUUUUAAUUUUAUUUUCUAAACUCACACCCCAUAAUUAGCGCCGUCUGUAGGAAAUCGAUUCUAGACAUCCGCAAAGACAACUCUGAUGGCAUCACAAAGCAAUAAUUGUUCUGGCAAUCAAGAACUCCUAGAGACAGAGGGGCUAAACUUUUGGUUGAUGCCUAAAGGACAACCAAGGUCACCUCUAGGUAGAAACUAGAUCGGUUGCCCCCCCUUUGAGGAAUGUAGACUCGGGACUAAACAUCAGCACCUCAAAACCAGUUGGCCAAAAUGCAUAAAAAAAAAAAAAAAAAAAAAAACACAAAUCCUGUGUUGACAACAGACUGAUGAAGCUAGCCCAGCGGCAAAAGGAGGACCAUUUGAGGACAUAUCAAAAAUAUCAAACCUUUCGCCUCAGGAAGGUCCGAAUAGGAGGCAACGUAGAUCCCAUGUCAACAUGGAUAGCCAAAGUGAUAGUAAAUCCGUGGCAUCGAGCAAGCGGAGGACGUCACCAAGACAGGCUUACUCAAGCAUGGAUCUCCGUGAGACACUCAAUGCUAAGCGAGAUCGAGAAAGUGAUCUGUGUGCUAAGCUCAACAACUGAAUGGCGGCGUCAUUAGACAAAGUCAUCAUUUGGUAGGAUCAGUAGCUCACACGCCCAAGCCUGAGACAAGAAAACCAGUCAUGAGGUAUCAAAUGCCAUUCUCCCAAGAUAUCGAGGGAAUGGACCAUACUUUCGAGUUUCACACCGUAUAAUGGGAAGUUAGACCCAAGAUCCCACGUUAGUCACGUUAAACAAAUGAUGGUCAUCUAUAAUCACUUGGAUUUCCUGAUGUGCUGGGUGUUUUUAUCGAGCAUAGGUUAUCUUAAGUUGAAAUGGUUUGACCAAGCUCCCGUAGGAUCGUUGGUACUUUCACCAACUCACUAAAUCAUUCAUAGCUCGAUUCCUCACAAACACAAAGGCUCCAAAGGCCGUCAACUCCCUUUUGACACUUAGAAAGGGCAAGAACGAGUCAUUUUGUAAUUACAGCAAGUGUUAUUGAGAGACUUAUAACGAGAUUGAAGAAUAUUCAGAAGAGUUAGUUGUGGAUACUAUAAGCUCGAGUUGACUCCCAGAGAAAGACUUUGGGAAGAUUUAACGCUCAAUCCUUCGAUCGAUCUCUGGGACCUCGUGUCCCAAAUCGAAAACAUAGAGAAAAUCAAGUUGAUGCAGGAUCGACUGAAAGUGGCAUGAGAUCGGCAAAAAAGUUAUGCUGAUUGUAAAUAGACGAGAGGUAGAUUUUCAGGAACUGUAUUGGGUAACUUGAAAGUCCACCAAUGAAAGGAAAUUAUGAGAUUUGGGAAAAAGGAAAGUUGAUCCCACAGUAUGUGGGGCCAUUUAAAAUUUUGGAGAAGAUAGGACCGGUAGCAUAUCGGUUAGCCUUGACUCUAGAUUUUGCAAAUGUGCAUGAUGUGUUCCAUGUUUUAGUGCUCAAAAAGUACAUUGCAGAUCCAACCCAAGUGUUAGACCAACCACCCAUUGAAUUAGAAGGACAUUUAUCAUAUGAGGAGCAACAAAUGAGAAUCAUGAAUUCUAGGAUGAAACAAUUGAGGAAUAAGGUUUUCCGUUGGUCAAAGUCUAAGUGGGAGAAUCAGACGACAGUCAGAAGCACCCUUGGGAGAAGGAGAGUGAUAUGCGGCAGAAGUAUCCGCACUUAUUGGACGCACGAUACAAGUAAAUUAUGCCUUGUUAUCAUACUCGACUGACGGACGUCGAUAAGUAGUAUAGUAUUAGACAAUUAUAUAGAUUGAGUUCGAGCCAUGCAUAGAUAUGAAUAACGGUAUAGAUAGGGACGUAGACGAGUUUGGAUGACUAACUUCUUAAGUGGGAAGGAAUAUCAUCUCCUGAACCACAAAACAAAAAGUAAUUAAAUUUAAAGUAAAAACUGGAUUAAUUUUCUUGGGGGCAAUAAAAGUAUAAUUUAGGUGCCAAAAAAAUACAAUAAUGCGACACAUAUGGACACACGGGUGCGUACAUGAGAGACACUGCUGAUACAUUUGAAUUAAAAUGUGAAGCUAUUUAUAUGUUUUGAGAUUAAAUUAAAGAUUCUAACUUUUCUUGAAUAAAGUUAAGAUGAUACUUUAAGUUUAGAUGAGAUCAUAUAUAUUUAAAAGGUGAAGGGACUAAAGUGGUAUUUACAUUCAAUUGAAAUUGGUCUGUCAUUGAUACGUUGCCAUUCUCUAGUGGCAGUCGUCGGCAUGGCGUGAUAUUAAAUAUAUAUAAGUUAUACUAGGCUAAAGAAAGAAAGAACAGAAAAGAAAGAAAGAAAGUAAAAUCAAGGAAGUGAAAAAAAGUAAGUUCGCAGACAGAGUUUAGAGAAAAGAGAAACAUAGAGUUAGAAACGAAAGACACGAAAAAGAACGCAGAAGUUGAGUAAUAAGGUGAGUUUUGUUAAUGUAUUACACAGUAUAAAGUAAUGUUUUAUAUGUUGAAACAUGACUUGGUUGUUUAACAAACUGUUAUGUUUUAUGUUACAAGCAUGAUUUGUUUGUUAUCUAAUGAAUUAAGGAAAAUAAAUAUUUGUGAAAAGUAUAUUUUAAAGGUCGACACUAGUUUCUUGAGCCUCCCGUGCGCUAGGGGGAUAAUAUAACUGGUUGAUGUAAUAAGGAGAUUAUGACCAGAUGAUUGUGUAGAUGAAUCAUACCAAAAGGUUAAGGUCCGCUCCUUAUGUUCUGGUAUUCCGUGAACGGUUAGUGUGUCCGCAAAUUAAAUCAAGUAAAUAACUUUAAAACUGAAUGUUUAUAGUUGGCUACCGGACCCAUUAGUCCCCUGGAGGGAUUGAUUUUAUAUGUACUUGACUGAUAGUCCCACGGGUUGGCUAGCUGCGUCAUAGAUUGACAAAAAAAGUGGUUUUAUUUUUUAUUUUUUAAAAAUAAACCUGAUUUCAUAUAUUUCUAUAGAUGCAGUUGUUUUGGGGUAAUAUACUAACUCACACUAGCCUAGUGCUUAAAAAGUUAUCGAAAGUAACUCAUUUCAGGUGAUGUAAAUAAGGGGAAACACGAUUGAGGGCAGGUGACCCUAGCAUGUUGAGUUUUUGAUAGUCAUGUACUGUGUAAUAAGUAUAGAAAUUUUUAUGUUUUGAACUGUACAUAGUUAGAAUUUGUAUAGUUAACUGGUAUAAUAGUAGUUGACGGUUGUGUCGGUUUGUAACCAGAAUCAUGUUGAUUUUUAAUUCGAAACCAUGUCGAUAGUUGUAUAUAUUAACACGUCAUCUCUGUUUUUAUUGGAUGCUUCCGCAUAUAUUUUAUUCAAGCAAUGCAUGUUGAAUGAUGUUAAUAAAAUCCCUAAACUGAGUUAGUUAAAAAGGCCUUAGUGAGAUGGGAUUUCACUGGACGAUCACGUGGCACAUGUAUUAUUGGUAGGACCCAGUUAAUUACGGGUCGAGUCAUGACAUUGUGGUAUCAGAGCAAAGGUUUAAGGAUUUUAUUGAGUAAAAUCAGCGCUUAGUAGUAUACGCAUGGUUAGAUUCGUAUAUUUGCAAAUGUAAUGAGUAGAAUGUAAGCUAUGUGAGUUUUUAUGACAUUGUCUAAUGGCAUUCUUUCAAUUAUAGAUUGAAUGAAAUGGAUGUACCACCCGAGGGAGGCGGGCAGGAAAGUGGAAAUGGAAUCCUAGAUGACUGACUGAGGGAUAUAGUGCAAAUACUCGGUGGGGGUGGUGGACCUGCUCAACAACAUUGUUCAACACAUCUUCCAACCACCACAACCUAGGAGCUAGGGAGUAGAUUUCCAAUAGAGGAGAAUUCAACAGGGGGAAAGAAUCAUAAUAUUAGGGGGGUCUCAUGGUCCGAUUGAGCCGGUUUCAUCAAAAUCCACUAACCAAUACAAUAUUUCCCGUUUCUGAAAAAAUGAAAACCAGAACUACCAUUACAAGUAUAAUAACCAAACAAAACUCAAUCUGCCUUGAUCGGUUCGUACCCGGUUCGGUCCGGUUCACCCAAUUAAUAUUUUAUAUUUUUAUAAAUAUAAAAUUAUCAAACAAAGUUGUUCAUUUUAAAUAACUCAUAACUUCAUGAUACUUCAAGUCAUGAACCACAUUGUACAAAAUAGUUCAUAAUUAACUCGUUAAAUGAUAUUAUAUCAUCAACUCUAAUAUAGGCAAUUAAAAACAUCAUAAAAUUUAAGAAUUCAUAAUGAAAAACACAAAAAAGGAAUAAAUAAACUAAAAAGAUUUCAUAAUGGAUAACAAAAAAAAAAUUAACUGAUAAAAUCUUGAAUAGAGAAAGAAGAUGGAAGGGUUUUGAUGGGAAGGGGAUGAAGUAAUCCUAAUAUCCAUAGGAAGUAAAAAUAUUUUUGUUGGAAAAAAGCCAAAGUAAUCACACAUAGGUGUAAAUUAUGACCGUUACGUGUUGGAUAAAUAUGUGUACGCGUGUAUAUAUAUAUAUACAUAUAUAUAAUCGAUUCUAGUUUGAUUCGAACCACAGUUUGAAAAUAAAAAUCGAUAACCGAAUCAAAUUUACCGGUUCUUAAUUUUUAAAAAUCAGAACAUAACUAUUAAACUAUAGAACCAAUCCAAAAGGAACGGUUCAAUUCAGUUUUUGUUCGGCUUCAUCAACACACACCGAUUUUUUUGGAUUUUUUUUGAGUACAACACCCCUACAGAAAUAUCAGGGAUAAUUGAGGACCCUAUUAUAACCAAUAUAAAGUGUUUCCGUGGUACGGCAGGUUCUGAAAUGAAAAUCGUCAACUUUCAAGGUGGGUGGAUCUAGUCAAAGGCCAAUAAUUGGAUAUUGGCAAUGGAGAAGAACUUUAGACUCUUAAGUGGAUAGAAGCAGAAAGUAGAGAUUGGUCAUACCUAUUGUUUGCAUGGGAAGCUAGAAGUGGUGAAAUCUAAGGGAGUUAGGGAGCCAAGAAUGGAUUGGGCUCGGUUCAAAGUAAAUCUUUAGAGAGAAAUUUGUGCCAAGAGCAGUGCAAAAUGCUAAAUGCUCAGAAUUUGAGAAGUUGAAACAAUUGGGGAUGAUUGUUGCAGACUAUGACGGGUCAUUCACCAAUUUGGCUGAGUAUGCGCCACACCUGAUGGCAACGGAUGAGAUAUGACCCUGCAGAUUUGAGGAUGGGCUGAGGCACAAAAUUAGGAGGGGGCUAUCGCCAUUAGUAUGUCACCCUAUGCCAAGUAACUAGAUAGGGCAAUUAUUGUGAAUGGGAUGAGAUUGAGAGAAAGAAUUACUUAUAUUAAGAAGGUAGAAAUUUGGGCCUGAGGGAACUGGUGGUCAAAUAACAGAAACUGAGUGAAGUCGGAAUUGUGGGAAUACCCAAAAGGGCAAGUGCAGUUUUUCAAAGUGUGGAGAUACCAUUGGGUCUCAUGUUGGAAGAUAGGGAUUGAAGUCAGACAAGGAUAGCAAUGUUUUUCAUUGUAUGAAGUGAGACACAUAAAUAGAAACUGCUCAAGACUGAGAACAGAGGCAGUAACACAACACCGAUGGGAGGUCCAGGCAGUAGCAUAAAGAGAACUGCUAGAUAGUUUACUAUGAAGACCCCUCAUACACGUGCACGACACGACAUGAGUCACACGGUUAAGUAAGACGGCUGGUAAGGCACGACACGAUUAAAAAACGGAUACGACACGACACGAUUAAAAUACGACCGCACGACACAAUUAAGUAGACGGGUACAACACGACACAAUAAGAUUCACAUGACUAAGGUAGCAGGCCGGCAUGGCACGAAUAAAGAAAAAAUGGCAUGGCACCCGGCCCGACCCGGCACGAAGUGCAGUUGGCACGAAAGAAAGUGACACUGCAACAACGGCACUUUUACAACCUCUACAAUCCAUCUCCCGCGUAUGUUUUUCUUCCUUUGUUGUUGUUUUAGGUUGUGUUUGGAUAAAAAAUUCAGUAGAUUAAUAAAAAAAUAACAAUUUAUGGAAAAAAAUCACUCAAAAGGCAAAUUUAACUCAAUAUGUGAUUUUUUACAUAAAAUAUUUUCACUGCGGCACGUAUAAGAUGAUCGAUUUUGAAUCAUUCACACCUUAGGAGUAGAGCCCAUAAGGAGAGUUUGGAUGGUAUAGAGGGAUAGAGUCUCGAGAUGAUGAGUUGGUAACAUACUCUACAAAAUUAAUAACAAAGUUAAAUAGUGUUUUUAGAUUAUACCAAUUAGAAAAUAAAAUAUUUAGAUCAAUUUUUUUCAAAAAAUAUUGAUCCUAUUUAAUAAAAAAUUUAUAACGGGGAAGAGAAGGAAUAAAGGAGGAGACAAAAGAGAAAAGAGGAGAAAAAGAUAACAAUUAUUUUUCAAGUAUAUUUAGAUAUGGUACUUAAAAAAUAAAAAUAUUUAUAUCAAUUUUUUCCACAACGACUUGAUGUAACCCCCCUUUUCUUUCUUUUACACUGGCUGGUUUGAGCCCCCACAAAUCAAAUUUUAAUUAAACAUGGUUUAUUAUUUUUUAACAAAAUUAUUUCGAAAGAAUUUUAAUAUACUUUCAAAAAAAAGCGACUCCAUGAUAUUUAUAAAAUUCCAUGAGAAGUGCCCCGUAUUUACUUAAAACAUCUCAGUGAAACUUUAUCUUUUUUAAUUAAUUAAAGCCACAACAAGAAUUGUGGAGUGGAGGCCAAAACUUGGUUGAUGGCAAUUAAUAACCACGGUAUUAUGGGGGCCCAGUAAGAAAGCACAUAAUGCUUCCAUUUUCUUAAAGAGACCAACACUUGGGCUGGCCUAAAAGACGAGGGAUAUGGGUGUGGACCACAUAGAAGCAAUCAGUUAUCCCGUGAAGAAGGGGCAAAAAAAGCCCCAAACACAUGCGCGGGUCAGAUCUUCCUUUGUUCUUUUUUCAAGAUGGGUUUGGAUCAAAAAUUCACUAGAUUAAAAAAUAAAGACAGAAAAAAUUAUGAAAAAAAGUUCACUCAAGGCAAAUUUAACUCAAUUUGUCGUGUAAUUUAUUCCAAAUAGAACGUAAUUUUGAACGGUUCGGAUCAUUCAUACAUUGGUCAGAGCGCACCACGCCGGCCUUUGGUUGGGUAUUGAGGCAUAAGCGUCUCAAUGUCCUGAGUUUCCUACUCUCCUCUAAAAUGGUGGAAGAAGUAGAGAAUGGUUGAAAAUAUCUCCAACCCACCUUUUAAUCUUUACUUUAGAGGAUUGAACCCAUCCUCCAAUUCUUCUAUUUAAGAAGAUCAUUUGAUACCAUAGUUAUCAGAACCGUAACGAAUCGAUCGGUUUAACCGGUUGAACUAGAAAUCGGACUAUGAACCGAUACGAUUCAAUUAAUUUACCGAAAAUAUAUGUGAACCGGAUUGAACCGAGUGAACGACCAUUUUUUGAAAAAGUAGUAACCCCGGCCGGGUAGGUUAGUGAACCUAACAGGUUUUUGAAAAAAGUUAAAAAAUAAAAUUGCCAAGAUUUAAAACCAUUUUAUUUUUUUAAAAAUAUGUCUUUUAUGAUUUUUUGAUUAAAAAAAAUCUUCAAAUGAAAGUCAAGAAAGGGAAAAAAAAAAAGUUACACUAACUAAAUAAUGCAACGUUUCUUGCUCUCUUUCUUACCUUUGAUACCUCAAUCUUAAAAUAUUUUUAUAUUAUAAUUAAAUAAAUCAAGAUACUUAUUAUCAAAAUUAAUUCAAUGUAAAAGAGAUAAACUAAAUUAAAAAAUAACGAUAAAAAAUAAGAAGGAUAGGACGCAAAAUAAAAAAUAAAAGUCCACACAAUAAUACCAUUAUAUCUUAAUAAUACACAUUAUCGACAAGCUUUAUGUUUCCUUUUAACUAAAAAUAUCAAUAAGUAAUAGUUUUAAAAAUAUUAAAUUAGAAAGAAAAAAACAAUCCUUUGAGUGUUUUUAAUAAUUAUAUAUUUUUGUAUUUUUUAAAGAGAUUUAGAGUUAUACUUAUAUUGAAUAAUUGUAUAAAAAUAUAUCUUUUAAAAAAACCCAUUUAUAAUUUUUAUAACUAUUUUUUAUUGUAAAUAUAUAUUAUUAUUAUUAUUUAUUAUUAACCGAUGAACCAUGUUGAACCACGUUGACCAUGAACCAUUGAUCGAUGCCUUGACCGGUUUAAAUCGCCAAUUUUGGUUCUAAUAACUUGUUUUUGAAAUACUGUAUAUUUAGAGGUUUUCACACUUAUUCCUUUAUACUUUUUAUUGUAUUUUUUGAAAAAAUAUGGGUAAUAAAUAUAUACAGUUAAUAAUGAUAAAAUUGUUAGAGUUGAAAAAGAUCGCCCAUAUCGUUAAAUGAGAUCCCAUAUUAACUGUAUUUAAUAAUUUUUUUUAAUUAAUAAUCUUUUUACAAUAAACUCUCGACCACUUUAUAAUAAAAUUAUAGAAUUUUGAAAAGAAAUGAACAAAUAUUGGAGAGAAAAUUAGAGAAUGUUUAAAAUAAAGAUAAAAAUGAAGACGUGCAGUUGGAUUACGAAUAAAUAGGGGAAGGGGAGUGGAGAAGGGUGGGAAGGGGGAAAAGGUGAGAAUCGCUUAAAUCUUCUAUUCUAAAGAGGAUUGGAUUGGAGUUGCUCUUUAUACACGCAUAUUUACAGCACAUUAAUGACUACCUUGUUCUUAAAAUGCAAGGUGCAAGUGGUUUCCUUCUUGAUAAAUGAUUGAUUAACGUCAGCUAAAAAAUUAUAAAGUAUGCUACAGUUUAUAAAAACCUAGAGUUGGAAAAGAUCACUUAUUUAUACAUACAAUCCCUAGUAUAUUCAAACAAAGCACAAAAAAAUCACAAAGAAACAUGAAUAAUAUGAAUAAAAAGUACCUGGAAGCAAAGGAGAAACAAUUAGAGAGCCGCAAUGUUCAACUUGAGAGGGAGACGGAGAUUUGAGGUAAUUGGAUAGAGGGAGAAUCAAAAAAUCAAUGUGUAGAGAGAGAGAGCAGCUGUGGCAAAUGAUAUAGGAAAGAUGAAAAGGUUAAUAAAAUUGAGAUUUUUUUAGCAGUCGACUUACAUAAAAUGAUUUUUAUGUGUUUCUUCCAUUACUUCCUUUCAUACUUCACCAUUUAAGUCCAUAAUAUGGAUAUUA